UACAGAGGGGGCAAGCGUUGUUCGGAAUUACUGGGCGUAAAGGGCGCGUAGGCGGCCGCCUAAGUCAGACGUGAAAUCCCUCGGCUCAACCGGGGAACUGCGUCUGAUACUGGGUGGCUUGAAUCCGGGAGAGGGAUGCGGAAUUCCGGGUGUAGUGGUGAAAUGCGUAGAGAUCCGGAGGAACACCAGAGGCGAAGGCGGCACCCUGGGACCAACCUGACGCUGAGACGCGAAAGCAUGGGGAGCGAACGGG
rnacentral:rRNA from 1 species